GAAAUGCGAUAAGUAAUGUGAAUUGCAGAAUUCCGUGAAUCAUCGAAUCUUUGAACGCACAUUGCGCCCUCUGGUAUUCCGGGGGGCAUGCCUGUCCGAGCGUCAUUGCGAACCCCUCAAGCACGGCUUGUGUGAUGGGCCCUCCCGCGUCUUGGUCGUCAAGACGGGCCCGAAAUGCAGUGGCGGCUUCGCGGUUAUCCGAUCAGCCAGAGCGUAUGGGGACUUUCUCUCUGUCUCACGCCCGCGGCGCGGACCGACGCCUGUCGACCUUCAUUCAUCGUUUUCUCGGUUGACCUCGGAUCAGGUAGGGAUACCCGCUGAACUUAAGC
rnacentral:misc_RNA from 1 species